CAAGUCGAGCGAGAAAGUGUAGCAAUACAUGAGUAAAGCGGCGCACGGGUGAGUAACACGUGGAUAACCUGCCUCAAAGUGGGGAAUAACACCGGGAAACCGGUGCUAAUACCGCAUAUUCUGACGAGAUCUGCGGAUUUUGUCAGGAAAGGAGCAAUUCGCUAUGAGAGGGGUCCGCGGCUGAUUAGCUAGUUGGUGAGGUAAUGGCUCACCAAGGCUUCGAUUAGUAGCCGGUCUGAGAGGACGGUCGGCCACACUGGAACUGAGACACGGUCCAGACUCCUACGGGAGGCAGCAGUGGGGAAUUUUUCGCAAUGGGGGAAACCCUGACGAAGCAAUGCCGCGUGGAUGAUGAAGUAUCUCGGUACGUAAAAUCCUUUCGACGGGGACGAAACCGCAAGGUUGACGGUACCCGUAGAAGAAGCCCCGGCUAACUCCGUGCCAGCAGCCGCGGUAAUACGGGGGGGGCAAGCGUUGUUCGGAAUUACUGGGCGUAAAGGGUGCGUAGGCGGCUUUCUAAGUCGGAUGUGAAAACUCUGGGCUCAACCCAGAGCCUGCAUCUGAAACUGGAGAGCUAGGGUUCUGGAGGGGAAAGCGGAAUUCCUGGUGUAGCGGUGAAAUGCGUAGAUAUCAGGAGGAACACCGGUGGCGAAGGCGGCUUUCUGGACAGAUACCGACGCUGAGGCACGAAAGCUAGGGGAGCAAACAGGAUUAGAUACCCUGGUAGUCCUAGCCCUAAACGAUGGAUACUUGCUGUGGGGGGGAUUGAAGCCCCUUGUGGCGAAGCUAACGCAUUAAAUAUCCCGCCUGGGG
rnacentral:rRNA from 1 species